rnacentral:rRNA from 1 species
CCUACGGGGGGCUGCAGUGGGGAAUAUUGGACAAUGGGGGCAACCCUGAUCCAGCCAUGCCGCGUGUGUGAAGAAGGCCCUCGGGUUGUAAAGCACUUUCAGGGAGGAAGAACGCCUGGUGGUUAAUACCCAUCAGGAAAGACAUCACUCACAGAAGAAGCACCGGCUAACUCCGUGCCAGCAGCCGCGGUAAUACGGAGGGUGCGAGCGUUAAUCGGAAUUACUGGGCGUAAAGCGCGCGUAGGUGGCUUGAUAAGCCGGUUGUGAAAGCCCCGGGCUCAACCUGGGAACGGCAUCCGGAACUGUCAAGCUAGAGUGCAGGAGAGGAAGGUAGAAUUCCCGGUGUAGCGGUGAAAUGCGUAGAGAUCGGGAGGAAUACCAGUGGCGAAGGCGGCCUUCCGGACUGACACUGACACUGAGGUGCGAAAGCGUGGGUAGCAAACAGGAUUAGAUACCCGUGUAGUC